UUUAUUUAAAAUUUAAAUAAUUUAAUUGUUAUUACCUUUAAUCUAUAAAAAAAAUUGGCAAGUUAGUAGAAAGAGCGUUGAUUCAUCUGACACACUCAAUACGAGAAAAAAUAGUGAAUAAAAUCCUUGUAAGAAAUGGUAACACCGUGGGUAUUGAAGGAUGGCUCACUAUGUCUCUGUGUCCCAAAUUUUUCACAAAGGUUCCUUGAUUACACUACAUGGGGACAAACCAUCAUUACUAGAAGUGGCCUAAUGUCACCAUAUUCUUUCUGGCUUUGGACAUCUUUUGCUACCUACAACACUGUUCAUGAAUUCAUGGUACGUGUUAGCCACACUACACUAGCAACUGUUUGUGAAGCUCUCCAAAUGUUCACUUGGUCUUCGGAGGAUGACUUUUUAGGACGGUGGCAUUUAGCAUGAGCAAGUGGUACAAUUUUCACUCCAACCGAAAACAACUUCGACAACCUUGUUCAAGACACGACUGUGAAAAAAUUAUUUGUUUAGUCAUCACCAAGGAGUGACAUCAAGAUGCGCCAAAAUUGGAUUGGGUUGACAACAAUUUUGUUCUUUGAAUUGAGCAAAAUGUGUUAAUGGAGAAGCAAAAUGUUUAAGAUGUGCUCAACUGGCCUAUAGUAUACUAGCAAACCUCAAGCAACUUAGAGGAUUCCUUGGUUUAACCAGGUAUUAGAGCUUUUAAAAAAAGAUGCAUUCAUAUGGUCAAACUCAGCCAGUGGCAUUCAACAAGCUGUCACAUCAGCACCGGUACUAGAAUUCCCUAACUUCAAGGAAACUUUUGUCAAGUUUGUCUAAGCAAGCAAAGGCAUUGAACACACUACAUGCAGGAUUAUUACAGCCACUGCCCAUUCCUCAACAAGUCUGCGAAGACAUUGCAAUGGACUUCAUUACUAGGCUACCUACUGUCAUAAUGGUAGUAGUGGACAGACCCUCAAAAUAUGGUCAUUUUUUUGCUCUCAAAAUUGAUUAUACUAGUAAAUCAGUGUCUAAAGUUUUCGUGAAUAACAUUAUGAAGCUGCAUGGCAUUCCAAAAAUCCAUAGUUUUAGACACAAAAAAUGUAUUUACCAACAAGUCUUGGCAACAUUUGUUCCAAUUACAUGGCACCACUCUUGCUAUGAGCUCUGCAGCAACACAAACCCACCUCAUUUGCAGGAACAACGGCCAGAGAUGUGUUCCUUGAUCAACUCAAACACCACUUAUCAAGAGCUCAGCAGAUUAUGAAAAGUCAGACAAAUAAGCACAUGAGGGACCUUACACUACAAAUAGGGGACAAUGUGCUUGUUAAACUACAGACCUGUCGCAAAAACUUUGUAGCCCUCAAGGAAAACCAGAGGUUUGGUAUGAGGUACGUCAGACCCUUUCUUGUCAUUGCAAAAAUUGGUGCAGUUUCUUACAAGUUGCAACUGUCUAAGUCGGUCAACGGUCAAAACAUACCAGUAUUCCAUAUUUCUCAAUUCAAACCAAUCAACGGAGCUGAGAGUACUCCUUAUAUGCCUUUGCCUUUACUCACAUCUGAGAUUGGUCCAAUACUUCUCUCUCAGAAACAAUCCUUGACAGUAGGACUGUACAAAAAGGGACUUAAUGUAUUUCUUAAGUAUUGGUUAAAUGGGUGGACUGUGACAUUUCUGAGGCCACUUGGGAGGACACAAAGGACAUUCCCUAUUAAGCUUGGUUACAAUAUUCUACAAGUUAGUUGCACACAUGUUUGUAUUAGGUGAGUAACAGUUCAGUUUGAUUGAUCUGUCAAGGAAUAUUUAAUUUUAUCUUUCUCAAUA